UGAGUGGAUUGGGUAAUUUGCUUGGAGGUGGAGUAAAUCUGACCUUAAAUCUGAGCUCAGCCUAUCCCAACGGAGGUGCCGGGAACCCCGUGGUUACCGGACAACUGUUAGAGCAUGUACGCUCUCUCCUGCGCUCGUCGGGCUUUGCUGACCAGUCCAAUGCUGAAGUGUGUCAGGCCAUUAGCACUCUGAUCAACUAUGGUAUCAUAGGCCUGGGGCUUGGUCUCGGGAAUCCCUCUGGUCACCAGGGCGGGCAAGGUGGGCAAGGACAGCAGGGGCAAGGAAAUAUGGGGAACAUGAAUAUAAACAUGAACAACUCAAAUAACCCAAAUGACUCUUAUCAUGGCUCAUCAAUGAGUAAUGGGAACAAUGGCCCUUUUGGGCCCAUAGGCACAACAGUUGCAUCAGGCCUUAACCUUGGACAGGGUUUAGGGGGACCAACAUCUCCUCAGCGACAGGUGGACCGAUUCAACUCAGAACCCCCAUUUGAUCCCUUUCGUCGACAGUCGACAGAGAUGGGGGCGAGCCUUCCGCUGAACAGUAAUUCUUUUGGGCUGGGGACCCCUUUAAGGAAGAGCCCCUCUCCAGGAGAGCUUCCUCCAGGAGCACCAGAAGGUAGCAAGAAAGUUGAGAUGGAGGUUGGUGAGCACAUUGUUGGCGCUAUCUUGGGCCCCGGGGGAAAGUCCCUGGUAGAAAUACAGCACAUGUCCGGCACCACAAUACAAAUCUCCAAGAAGGGUAACUAUGCACCUGGUACUCGUAACCGCAUUGUCACCAUCACGGGUCUACCUUCAGGCAUCACAACGGCGCAGUUUCUCAUUGAACAACGCAUCUCUGAUGAAGAGGGCAAGCGUGCCCGCCAGAAUGCCAUUAUAGGGGUCAUGCCUUAAAUCACCCACUUUUCAUUUCUUCCAUUUCAUCCAUAGUUAAUUUGACCUCUGUCGGGGGGCUUGAAAUAGAUUUGCGCACACCAUUUCCUCUUGCCCAUCUAGUUAUAGUGAUGAGUGUUUACAUGUUUGGCGAGUCUUUUUAUAUGAAUUACAAGAAUUUCAAGCUCCACAUCUGUCAUCAAAAACUUAGGUGCUUUUCAGUAGACCAUGCAGGAUUAUAUAUGUAUAUAUAUAUAUGUAUGUAAAUCCAUUGCUUGGAUUAUUCAUUAUAAAGUGAUCUGAUACUUUUUUUUUCUCAUUCUUUUAUAACUGACAAGCACCUUGCAUUUACAGUAUAGGUCACAGCAGUUCAUUUCUUCUUCAAAAUCCUGUGUUCAAAUGUCACCCCAUAAUCAGGCAUAACCAUUACAUACGUUUCAUAAUUGACCAUUUCUAUUCUUAAAUUUCCCCAGUCACCAACUACAGUUGUUUGCCAGCAUUAUGCACUAUGUUUGUAUAGAAGAGAGCAACUGUGAGUAACCAUUGUUCAUUGUCCAAAUAUGUACAGAUGAAUCAUAGUUGUGUGAAGGCAAGUAGUAUACAUGAAUUUGUCAUUUUUAAAAUUCAUUUCAUUGUGCAAUGGAUGCUGCUGAGUUAACCUUAAAAGUGGAUGUUGCCUGGGGCUACAAUACUUCACAGUUGGUGGUUCUGCUUAAAGGAAGCUGAUCCUCAUGCCCAGCGCUAUAUGACCGCAUUUCUAAUCCAGACAUGUUGCUGUAUUUUGUUUACUUUGUUACAAUUUAUAUUUAUAUUGCUUGGUUUUUCACUUGAGAAUUCAGUUGUUUUAAAACUGUUCUCUGGUUCUGCUUUUAGGUUCAUUUAAGGCGAAAUUGCUUUGUUUAAAGUUGGCAACUAUGUCUGGAUUCUAAUGACUCACAACCAUCUCUUUGUCUGCGGUCAGAAAACAUCCUACAUAGCAAUUCAUAUCAUGUGGUAUGAAUGAUGGCAACUUGUGACUCAUGUUGAGUUUGAUUAUGCUGCUGCCAGGGUUUCUACCUGGACUAGGCUACACUGGGAGAGGUAGUACAGGUUUCCCAGAGAGAGACCUCUUUGGUAUCAUUGAUAACAUGUUUUAGGUCCCUUUUUGUGAGAACAAUGUACUAGGGUGGGCAGUAACAGGUGUUAUGAAGCUAGAGUUAACGAGGGCGGGAAGCCGCACGGGCCUCAUAGAUAUCCCAUACUUAAUAGCACCCUCAUUAAGUGGCUAAGUUUGAAAAAAAAAAAUUGCAAUUAAAGUGUAUUGUGUGCAUGUAGAUUAAUUUUCCCUGGUAAUAAACUUAUAAGUUCCUUAUAAAAGUAAGUCAUAGACUGCCAUUUGUUAAAUCUUUUAGAAGAUUUAUUAGGAUUUUUUUCUUUAAAGUUUCUCUGAACCAGGGGAUAGCCAAAAACAUUUUAUCAUGCAUCUUUCCUCAUUAAAUAUCAUAGCUCUACAAACCUUGUAAAAAAUUGGCAAUAAAUGUGUAUCCAUUAGCGGCCAAGACUUUCCAUAUCAGCCUUUAUCAACCAGUUUCACCGCACCAAACUGACAUCCCAGCGCCCUGAAAGUCUUGAACAUAUGACCUUCAGGGCGCAGGCAACCAAACCUUCAUCAUGCAUUCUAUUAAGUCACGCCUCAUGACACUGGAAGCACCGCCAGAUGACAAAGUCAGUUUGUUGCGGCAUGCUUAUGACAACAUGUGACCGACGUACAUUGACUCCAUCUCCUCCUGCAAUAUCGUUGAAGCUGUCACAGUAAGUAGAGUAAGAAUCCCGGUACAAGGGAAGCAAGCUUAUGACAACUGACUAGAGUCAAAAGGUGGUAAAACACGGUUAGGGAAGGUCCAAUGCUGCAGGUGAUCAUUUCACCCACAUAUAUGCAUAUCAGGAAGGUUGGGGGGCCUGGGAAUGGGUUGGGAUCAGGACAUUCAUUAGCUUGUAGCAUUCAUUUUCCUUCAGUGAUAUGCUAUAUAUUGACUUAUAAUGGUAAUAAUGUCUCACAGGAAUCCUACGAGUGAUGCACAGCACCCCAAGUAAUUAUGACGUUCUUUUCUCUCCCGUUUCCAUAACUAGAUAAUGGGUGACCCCAAUGUCUUGAAUGAUGAUUAAGCUGGUGUGUAUGUGUGGAGCUGACAGUGCCAGGCUGUGGUGGUGGCGGCGGCAGGAGGGUGAGAGACUCCACGCAGGCUCGGCACUCCUCUCCACACAGUUCUUAAUGUCCUCUGGAAAAACCAGUGUACAGUUUCUGAUGAAAAAGGUGAAAAUAUGUACAUCUAUAUAGUGAUGCUAUCAGGUGUGUGUUUCAUCAUCAUUUAUUCACACAUUCUCCCUGUUUCUUGUGAUAACAUCAUUAAUUGAAUUACAUGAGACAUCAUUCUUAGAUAUGCUGACAUUUAUAGUCAUUCAUAUAUUUUACUAAAAGAAAAUGAUCACCGUCUUAAAAAGAUGGACUUUGUAACAGUUCUUGGAACAAACCUCUUUCCCUUGCUUUGUUUAUAUAUAUUUUGACUAUUUAUUUAUUUAUUAUUUUUCCUAGAGAAUUGAACUAAAAAAUGCAACUUAAGGGAACUUUUUGAAAUGCUUAGAAAUCUGAUAUUGUUUGCCAUAUACUGAAAGUCAAGAAUUGAUUUUCUUUUCCUUGACGAGGGAGAACAACCAAAUUCAUAGAUGCCAACAUUUUACAGUUUUAUCAGGUUUCGUCAUGUGUGGUCACCAUCUACACACAGGCAUUGUGGCAUGCUGGUUGUGAAGAGGUUUGGUGCUGCUGGGCAUUGCUUGAGUGGAGUGAGGAUGAAAGCUGGUAACGCUUGAGUACAGGUCAUGUUGGAGGUGCUGUCGUGUGCCCACCCAAAUGGAUCUCGGAUAUUGAAAUUUUGCCGCUGGUAGGAAAGGAAGAUCCUUCUGGGAAUGGAUAUAGAUCAGAGAGAAACAUAUUGUGUGUAGAAGGAAGAAAUAUAUGUUGUUGUCUUUCUUUUAUUAAUCUAUAUCCUGUUUCUUCUACUUGGAUAUUUCUUUGGUUGGAUAUAUUUGCAGUCUGGUCUUUAUUUUUUUACAGAUUAGAUGCUGUAAAUUAAUUUGAAGCUGUGAUGGCAUGACAUAAUGCCAGUUUAGAUCAUGAAGGAUGUACACAUGCAAUAUUUUUUUUUCUUUUUUAUGGGGGGGGGGUCUGUUACGUAUUUUGAAUUUGUUUUGAAAAAACACCAUUAUUGUGGUGAAAUUUUAUUCUUUAACAAUUACUACAUUUUUUAAAUAUAAGAGAAUGCUGCUCUCAUAGAAAAUUUUAUAGUUUUUUUUUUUUAUCAUGGAGACGGUGUAGAGUCAAGGUUAAUCAGAGAAGUUUUUGAGUAUUUGAUUUCCAGUUGACUGGGUAACUUGGUUAACAAGCUUCAAAGUAUUGGUAUUUUUUUAUGAAUUGCCGUAUCUUUGGCUUUUUCAUAAAUUAAUUUCUUUAAUGUAUGUUGUGUUCCUACCAUAGCUUGAGUAACUGCUCAGUACAAGAAUCCUUAGAAAAAAAUGACUAAAGAUCUAGCAUUCUGUCCAGAGAAGAGUGCAAUCGCUUUUCAUUUCCCAUCUGAUUCUGUUAAACCAUGGUGAAUGAUGGGCCAGUUAAUGGAUUAAUUGUUUUAAGGAAAGCUGUAAUGCAGUUCAGAUAUUUAUCCUAAUCUUCAGUUUAUCGUAGGUGCAAACUCGCCAAAUACCCUCAAGAAGAAAUAAUAAGAAAAUGAUGGAAUGUAGAUAGAGAAUUCUGCAAUAUCGUUGGAUAAAUAUGAAAACCUUUAACACACGUUUAACCAUAUACCAUACCAAAAAUAGAACAUGCAUAAUAACAUACCACUCAAAAUACACAAACAUAAACAUGAACUUUUAACCUUAUUUUUGGGAAACUUUAUGAAAUAUAUAUAUAUAUAUAUAUUUAUAUAAGAUAAACUGUCAGUGACCUUCAAUCUAUUUUGUACAACAAAAGUGUAACCUAAAGGUUUGGAGAUAAAGUGGUAAGUAAUUAUUUUUACUCCCUCGGCUUAAGGAAGCUUGAGUAAAUAUUUCACAUUCAGUAUUCGUGGGUGGAGGGAAAUACAACUGUGACUCGAGGUUUGGUGAAGGAAAUUAACUUUAAAGUUAAAGGGGAAUUUAAGCAUUUUCAUUGUGAAAAAACUGCAGACAUCUAUGUAGUAAAUACAUGGACAUGCACCGACACUUGUUUCACAAUCAUUCACACUAACUUUUGCUAUUUCCCUCAUCAUUUUUUCUCCUAAUUUAUUUUUGUAAUUUAUUAAAGAUUUUUAAAAUAUUCAUUAUUUUAAAUUCACUUCCACCUUCAUUAGGUCUUAAACGAAGGAGAACAUUGAUAUCAUGAAUAUUGUUUUAGAGAAUGGGCAGGUCAGACAGCAGUUCAUCUCUUUAAUUGUAACACGGACACACAUUAACAAUCUCCCUCACUUAACUCAUGAAAUCAGCACGUAAACAUCAAGCAUCGAGUUGUUAGCACCCUCUCUAAGAAGGGCACAUUCUUUGAUCAUCCUUAGGCAACGAAAUAUGUUGAGCACAUUGUUUAUCUACUGAAGUGCUUAAGGACUAUGAUGUAUCAAAUGUUGAUUUUUUUGGUUAAAUAUAUAUUUUAUAUUGAA